rnacentral:rRNA from 1 species
GACGAACGCUGGCGGCGUGCUUAACACAUGCAAGUCGAACGGUGAAGCGCCUUCCUUUUUGGUGGGUGUGGAUGAGUGGCGAACGGGUGAGUAACACGUGAGUAACCUGCCCCCUUCUUCUGGAUAACCGCAUGAAAGUGUGGCUAAUACGGGAUAUUCUGGGUCUGUCGCAUGAUGGGUCUGGGAAAGAUAUUGUUUCGGUGGGGGAUGGGCUCGCGGCCUAUCAGCUUGUUGGUGGGGUGAUGGCCUACCAAGGCGGUGACGGGUAGCCGGCCUGGGAGGGUGGACGGUCACACUGGGACUGAGACGCGGCCCAGACUCCUACGGGAGGCAGCAGUGGGGAAUAUUGCACAAUGGGCGCAAGCCUGAUGCAGCGACGCCGCGUGAGGGAUGGAGGCCUUCGGGUUGUGAACCUCUUUCGCCAGUGAAGCAGGCCUGCCUCGUUUGUGGGUGGGUUGACGGUAGCUGGAGAAGAAGCGCCGGCUAACUACGUG